rnacentral:tRNA from 1 species
GAGAGAUGGCUGAGUGGCCGAAGGCGGCGGUCUCGAAAACCGUUAACGGGGCAACCCGUUCGGGGGUUCGAAUCCCCCUCUCUCC